rnacentral:rRNA from 1 species
AACGUAGGAGGCGAGCGUUAUCCGGAGUUACUGGGCGUAAAGGGCGUGUAGGCGGUUUGUUAAGUCUGGCGUGAAAGCUCUCGGCUAAACCGGGAGAGGUCGUUGGAUACUGGCAAACUAGAGGACGGUAGAGGCGUGUGGAAUUCCGGGUGUAGUGGUGAAAUGCGUAGAGAUCCGGAGGAACACCAGUGGCGAAGGCGACACGCUGGGCCGUACCUGACGCUAAAGCGCGACAGCAUGGGGAGCAAACGGG